CAUUGUCAACCUCCACCAUAGAGGCACGACACCUUCCUCGUCGAUCUUCACUGUGGUGAGUUUUGAUAUUGGUUUUGUUUUUGUUAAUUUAUUUUUUUUGGGUUUUUUUGAUUGAUUGAGAUUAUUUGGUGAUUGCUUUCACUGUUUUGAAUGAUAUAUUAAUGGGUUUCUGUUGUGGCUUGCUGUUUCUGGGAUUGAAUGAAACUUACCAAAUAUUUCAUGUGGUUGUUAAGCUCUUGGACUUGGAUACACUGUUUUGAGCUUAUGAUUUGUCUUUGAAAUGAUGUAUGCACUAUUUUGUGAUUGAGACUUGGACUUGCAGAUCUCCUUGAAAGUAAUGUAUUCACUCUUUUGGAUGAUAUUCGAUAUGAAACAACCUUGGACAGUCAAGGUUUGGCAAUUUGUAAGUAGUUAGUUAGUAAUAGGAUACCCUGGGUUAAUGGCUUUGGGUUGGAUUUAACUUUAAGAGUUCUUGAUACAUGCCUUCCUUGUUGGAGCUUGAAACACAGCUAUGCUAACUGAACCGUUUCACUUUGCAUAAUACUGAUGUUUUAAAAUUUUUGGUUAUUAAUGUUUAAUUGAUGUUUUAUCUGUAUGGUUUAUACACUAGUUGAUAGAUUUUUUAUUAGUAGCUUAACAUGUGUUAACAAAAUGGGUUUAUGAUGAUGGUCAGAAUGUGUUAACAAAAUGGAUUUUUUAUUGAUAGAUUUUAUGAUGGUCAGAAAUGGACACAAUUGCAAUUUUGGUUUGCUACAAUGGAAAAUGGGUAACCUCAAAGAAGAUGUGAACAUAUGAAGAGGGUGACUCAAAAGGCAUAAUAGUUUCGCGAAACAUCAUGUUUGGUGAGCUUUUGGAACGGGUGCAUAAAAUUGUUAAUACAAACAACAUGGAAGACAAGCUUUGUUUAAAGUUCUCAGUUUCAAUAUCCUCGAAUGAGUGUAAGCAUAUCAAGAUUGAGGACAAUGAUGAUGUUAAAUUUUUUAUUAAGUACAUUUGUGACGUAAUUCCUUCGAAAGUGGCUCCUUUACUGGUGAGCAUAGAAGAUAGAGGAGGGACAAAUGUCGUAGGUGAUCGUAUGCAUAUCACGACGGAUAUGAGUCGGAUGGGCUGUUCUUCAAAUGCCAUAGUUGAAAGCAAUGGUGAUGUACAUGGUGUUUUUGGAACAUAAUAUUUAGACAUGAUUAAUUUUACAGGGGUAGAAGGGGUGCAUAGUGGUGAUAAUGGUACGGAAAUGAAUGGCUUGCAAAUGCACUCAACCCCUCCUAUUUUGGCCCAUUUGGAGACAUUUUCACAAGUGGGUGUGGUGGGUUUUGGAACAACGUCUGAACUUUCUAUUCGACAUAAUUGGAGGCAAAUGGGUGAACAAAACAUGCACAAUUUGGGUAUUGUAAAUGAUGAAGAAAAAGAUAUUGAAAGCGCGUAUUCACGGAAUAAUUAGGAUCCACAAUUGGAAGUUGGGAAAAUUUUCUCUAGUAAGGAAGCCCUGUCCAACAAGUUACAGUUGGCGGCAGUGAGAGGUCACUUUGAAUUUAAGGUGAAGCAGUCUUGCAAGAGUCGAUUGGUUGUGGUUUGUUCUCAAGGUCCAUGCCCAUGGCGGCUUCGUGCAUCUAGUUAUGGAGAAAAGAACUUCAUGAUUGUGAAAUAUAAUCCGGUCCAUUAAUGUGGUAUGAGUUUUGUACAUGACAAGCAUCAUCACGCAAGUGCUAAACUCGUUGGUAAUGCAGUGAAGCGGAAGUUGAAAAAUUCUCGCACAAUAUACACACCAAGUGAUAUAAUCAGAGAUGUGAAACAAAACUUUGGUGUCACCAUUAAUUAUUGCAAAGCUUGGAGAUCGAGGGAGUUAGCUCUAAUGUCCACUAGAGAUUCAGUAGAAGAGGCAUAUUCUCUCCUUCCAGCUUAUUGUCAUGAAUUAGAGCGUGUGAAUUCUGGCACAAGGACAUACAUCCACACCGAUGAGAACGAUCACUUUUUGAAUUUUUUUUAUGGCUGUUGGGGCAUGUAUUAGCGGGUUUCAAUCUUCGAUGCAGCCAAUCAUUGUUGUGGAUGCCCGCAUUUAAAAUGUAAGUAUAAGGGUGUCCUCUUUAUUGCCAAUGCAUUUGACGGAAAUCGAAAUAUAUAUCCUCUUGCUUUUGGAAUUGGGGAUUUAGAGACGGAUGCAUCAUGGCAUUGGUUUUUCAAUAAGCUUCAUGAAGCCAUCGGUGAGUGUCCAAAUCUUGUGAUUAUUUCUGAUUGGAAUAUUAGCUUAGAGAAUGUGUGGCACAACGUUUUUCCAACGUGCAACAUGGCAUAUGCUUUUACCAUAUGAAGGGGAACAUGAAACGCACUUUCAAAUUGAAAAAACGUGAUAAAUUAUUGCUAUACUUUGAACAAGCAACGAAAUCUUAUGGUAUCGUUGAAUUUGAUCGUCAUUUUCGCAAGAUCAAGGGAAAUGAUGAGGUUUCUCAAUAUCUUGAAAGUGCAGGAUUACACAAGUGGUCUAGAGCUCACAUGGAUGGACGUCGAUACAAUGUAAUGACAACAAACAUUGCGGAGUCAAUCAACCCAGUCCUUCGAUUCG
rnacentral:lncRNA from 1 species